rnacentral:rRNA from 1 species
UACGAAGGGUGCAAGCGUUAAUCGGAAUUACUGGGCGUAAAGCGUGCGUAGGCGGUUUGUUAAGUCAGAUGUGAAAGCCCCGGGCUCAACCUGGGAACUGCAUUUGAUACUGGCAGGCUAGAGUGCGGUAGAGGGUGGUGGAAUUCCCGGUGUAGCGGUGAAAUGCGUAGAGAUCGGGAGGAACAUCCGUGGCGAAGGCGGCCACCUGGACCAGCACUGACGCUGAGGCACGAAAGCGUGGGGAGCAAACAGG